GCCGUUCAUUUACAUACAUUUUACUAAACCUAAAAAAAGCUUUCUCUUUCGGCCUCUGCUUUGGAGUCUGGAUCUUCGUCUCUCUUAAUUCGUUUUGAUUUUAGGAGAUGUAACAGCUAUUUAAUAGGAGUCGGAUCAUUCCCAAACCCUAGAAAAGGCCAAAUUACCAGCUACUUCUUUGUGUUCCUCUCUCUCAAACCUCUUUCAAUUUUUAUUAGUCUAUUUUCAAAACUCUCGAUGCAUUGAACGCCUACAGAUAUAGAAAUCUAAAGAACAGUUUUGAAGAAGUUGGCUAGAAUGGAUUUAUCGGCAACAACAAGGAUCAGAGAGGUGAUGAUUGUAAAGAAAGAGAGGCGAAGAUGGUAUGAGUAGAAAAGAGAUCUAAGAUGAUUCGGUGAUCAAUUUGAAGAAGAAGAAGCACCAGAUCGACUCUGAACAUGAGUCCAACCCUUAGCCUAAUUACGCUUUUGUAAAUCUCUCUCUCUCUCUUCUAGGUGAAGCAACGGGGUCUGGAGAGUGAACUAGACCUAUCGUAUUCACCGGGGCAGAAUAUUUUGAUGUGAGUGACGUGUUGGGAACAAAAAGCCAUCUUCUCACAACUCUCUGUUUUAUAUGUUAUACUAAAAGCAGAGCUUCUUAUGUUUUUGUGGGCGACUAUAUCUACGUAUGGUUUCCAAUUUUUCAGAAUAGGUUUAAUAUAAUAACAAAAACAAUUUGCAAGAGUUCACAGGCUCCAAUGAUAGUGACACGUUUGAAGCAAAGAACAAGAUGAAUGAGCAAGGCCAUCUUAAUUUACUCUCAAGCCCUUGAAAAAUUUGUUCCGCAUAUUCAACAGGCUGGAAUCACUUUUGAAUCUUCCGUUGGCUGCAACGAAGAUGAAAGCUAGCCACAAUUUACAAUUAACAUCUGCCAAGUGCCAACGUUUAAGCCGUCAAACUCUUAUGAGUUUAAUACCAGUAGAAAACAUGACAUUGAGUUCAAGCUUACAGGUAUAGAGUAAUUCAAAAAGGUGAAAAGCAUUAUGAGACUGCUUUGGAUUUUAUAUUACAGGAAAUUGUAUCUAAUGAGAAGGAAGAUAAGAGGGAUGAAUAAGUUUUCGCAGGACUUCACUUUGUAAAAUAAUCAAAGGUUUUGCAUUUAUAAUUGGUUUUGUAAUUUAAAAGAGAAUGUCUUUUAAUUAUGGAAAUGAUUUUUUUAAUUUGAAAUUGUAUUAUUCUU